GACGAAGGGGGCUAGCGUUGUUCGGAAUUACUGGGCGUAAAGCGAGUGUAGGUGGUUGUCGUAGUCAGGUGUGAAAGCCUUGAGCUCAACUCAAGAAAUGCACUUGAUACUGGGCAGCCUAGACGGACGGAGAGGAUAGUCGGAAUUCCAGUGGUAGUGGUAGAAAUACGUAGAGUAGUGGAAGAACACCAGUGGCGAAGGCGGCUAUCUGGACGGUUUCUGACGCUAAGACGCGAAAGCGUGGGGAGCAAACAGG
rnacentral:rRNA from 1 species